rnacentral:rRNA from 1 species
ACGCNGCGCGUGCUUAUACAUNAAGNGAACGCUGAAGAGAGGAGCUUGCUCUUCUUGGAUGAGUUGCGAACGGGUGAGUACGCGUAGGUAACCUGCCUUGUAGCGGGGGAUAACUAUUGGAAACGAUAGCUAAUACCGCAUAACAAUGGAUGACACAUGUCAUUUAUUUGAAAGGGGCAAUUGCUCCACUACAAGAUGGACCUGCGUUGUAUUAGCUAGUAGGUGAGGUAAUGGCUCACCUAGGCGACGAUACAUAGCCGACCUGAGAGGGUGAUCGGCCACACUGGGACUGAGACACGGCCCAGACUCCUACGGGAGGCAGCAGUGGGGAAUAUUGCACAAUGGGGGAAACCCUGAUGCAGCGACGCCGCGUGAGGGAUGACGGCCUUCGGGUUGUAAA